CGGCGCGUAGCUCGGUGGUGAGAGCGGUGUCCUUAUACGACACAGGUCGAGGGUUCGAUUCCCUCCGCGCCAA
rnacentral:tRNA from 1 species